UUUAAUAUGGCAGAUAUAAGUGCAAUGGAUUUAAACUCCAUUUAUAAAGUUAGACAUCUUUUAUUAAAA
rnacentral:tRNA from 1 species